rnacentral:lncRNA from 1 species
AAAGAGUGGGCGAAAUGGCUUCCCUGGGCCGAAUGGUGGUAUAAUACUAUAUAUCAUUCAUCUACAAAAUGUGCCCCUUAUGAAGCAUUGUAUGGUCGACCAGCCCCUGUGAUUCCAAAGUAUGUAAUUGGCUCGGCCAAGGUAGAUCAGGUUGACUAAGAAUUGAUUGAUAGGGACAAACUCUUACAACUGUUAAAAGAUAAUCUCUCUACCGCUCAAGCCAGA